rnacentral:lncRNA from 1 species
UUUUUUCUUAUUUUGCGAUCAUUCUAUUGUCAUUAUCUAUGUCUAUUAUAACAAUUUUUUACUACCUCUAUAGACAUAUUUGUGAUUUGGUAUAAAAAAGAAAAAAAUAUUGUAAGUUGAGUGUAGAAGCCCAAAUUUGCCUGGCCCACUAAAGAAAAUAAAACAAAUAAACCCAAAUCAUUACAAACCUCUAGCCCAAAUUAAAUUCUAAAUUACAAACCCAUUUUUCCAGGGCUCGACAGGCCCAAAACCUUAAGAUAUUUUCAGUAAAACAAAAAAAAAACCCUAACCCUAACACCCCAUGUGCGCCGUACCCAUCAGCUACCACCCUCG